rnacentral:sRNA from 2 species
CGAACAAGUCAGCCUAAUCUAGUCGCCCCAAAGGCUAGAGCGGGGGAACCAGUAAAGGGGCGUGUUUCCGAGUUCUCAAACCCCCAUGAAGGGUAAUCGGAGAAGGGUAUCUCUCAACCCUAGCCCGUCAGCUAACCUCGUCGGCAUUGAGGGAGACUGA